UUAUUGGGUUUGUUUUGUAUAAUUUCGCGGUUUUGUUCGUUGUAAUAUGUUAGCCACAAAAGUCAGUUAAAUUCAAGAACUUAAAUGAAAACGUAACUUAUUUUGGCGGUACAGUCAGAUGUCAAAUGUUCUGUCUCCAUGAAAGCACACACUUACAAAGUAACUUUAGGCCACUUUAGCUUUAGGAAUCAGUUGUGUUAACCGAUUUCCGAAGCAAUUUUCUAUAUUAGAACCCAACUAGAAAGAAAUCUGCCUGUCAUAUGAUCUAGGUCUGUCAAACACAAAAAAAAACAAUGAAAAAAAUGUGAAUAAAACGAUUGUUUGACAUGCAGAUUUUAGGUGUUUUCUGUCUAGGUGAAUGUUUGUCAUCUGGAGAGAACAACACAAAAUAAACUAAAAUAGGAUAGUAACGUUUUACAAGCCGAAAGCAGGAACAAUACAAACAAAAAAAGAAAAAAUGGCGUGUAAAAUGUUACAUUAGGUAUGGUAGGGUAAUUAACAACUUGUAACGUUUUACGAGCUAAUAAGUAGUUUCCCAUCCCAAAAAAAUAUAUAUAUUACAAUA